rnacentral:rRNA from 1 species
CCUACGGGAGGCAGCAGUGGGGAAUAUUGCACAAUGGGGGGAACCCUGAUGCAGCGACGCCGCGUGAGUGAAGAAGGAUUUCGGUAUGUAAAGCUCUAUUAGCAGGGAAGAAAAUGACGGUACCUGACUAAGCAGCCCCGGCUAACUACGUGCCAGCAGCCGCGGUAAGACGUAGGGGGCAAGCGUUAUCCGGAUUUACUGGGUGUAAAGGGAGCGCAGACGGCUGUGCAAGUCUGGAGGGAAAGGGGGGGGCCCAACCCCCGGACUGCUCUGGAAACUGUAAAGCUGGAGUGCAGGAGAGGUAAGCGGAAUUCCUAGUGUAGCGGUGAAAUGCGUAGAUAUUAGGAGGAACACCAGUGGCGAAGGCGGCUUACUGGACUGCAACUGACGUUGAGGCUCGAAAGCGUGGGGAGCAAACAGGAUUAGAUACCCUUGUAGUC